rnacentral:tRNA from 1 species
UGCCGAAGACAGGAAUCGAACCGGUGUCGCACGGCAGCCACGUGAAGAACUGACCACUAUGCUACUUGAGC